rnacentral:rRNA from 1 species
AUUGAACGCUGGCGGCAGGCCUAACACAUGCAAGUCGAGCGAGCGGCGGACGGGUGAGUAAUGCCUAGGAAUCUGCCUGAUGGAGGGGGAUAACUACUGGAAACGGUAGCUAAUACCGCAUACUAUCAGAUGAGCCCAGAUGGGAUUAGCUAGUAGGUGGGGUAACGGCUCACUUAGGCGACGAUCCCUAGCUGGUCUGAGAGGAUGACCAGCCACACUGGAACUGAGACAAGGUCCAGAGUCCUACGGGAGGCAGCAGUGGGUAAUAUUGCACAAUGGGCGAAAGCCUGAUGCAGCCAUGCCGCGUGUGUGAAGAAGGCCUUCGGGUUGUAAAGCACUUUCAGUGGGGAGGCGUUACCCGCAGAAGAAGCACCGGCUAACUCCGUGCCAGCAGCCGCGGUAAUAC